rnacentral:rRNA from 1 species
UAGGGAAUCUUCGGCAAUGGGGGGAACCCUGACCGAGCAACGCCGCGUGAGUGAAGAAGGUUUUCGGAUCGUAAAGCUCUGUUGUUAAGGAAGAACGAGUGUGAGAAUGGAAAGUUCAUGCUGUGACGGUACUUAACCAGAAAGGGACGGCUAACUACGUGCCAGCAGCCGCGGUAAUACGUAGGUGGCAAGCGUUGUCCGGAAUUAUUGGGCGUAAAGCGCGCGCAGGUGGUUUAGAAAGUCUGAUGUGAAAGCCCACGGCUCAACCGUGGAGGGUCAUUGGAAACUAAUAAACUUGAGUGCAGGAGAGAAGAGUGGAAUUCCUAGUGUAGCGGUGAAAUGCGUAGAGAUUAGGAGGAACACCGGUGGCGAAAGCGGCUUUUUGGCCUGCAACUGACACUGAGGCGCGAAAGCGUGGGGAGCAAACAGG